rnacentral:lncRNA from 1 species
CGAAGUGCUGGGAUUACAGGUGUGAGCCACCAUGCCUGCCUGUCCCAUUUCCCCAUUUUAAAAAAGUCACCUGCCCGAUUGGUUUUCAAAGCUGCCUUCACUCAAAGAGGGCCUGGAGGGUAGGAAUGACUCAUACAGUCAUUCAUUGUCUGUGCCCGCUUUUCAUAGCACAAAAGAUAGGUCCUUCCCAUCCCGCCCAUCCUCUCCCUGCUGGUCAUCUUGUAUGCGGAGAAUCCAAGGAUCUUCUUACCAAUGAGUUCUUGCCGCUCAUGAGCAGGUGAAGGAGUGGAGCUGAAGUGGAAAUAAUCUAUGGGCUGGACUGUCUAGACAGCAUUUGCUCCUCUGGAUAGGGAGGAGAGCAGACAGAAGCGGGCUUUGGCCAAACUGAAACUCAAGCCAUCACUGCCAGCCCUUCCUGAGCCAUCUCAGAUGAGCCUUGUCUCUGGGCCACAGCCAGAAUUGGCCUGGGCUGUUUCUCACUCCUAUUUCAAAGGAUUUGUGCUCCUAGCAGAGGAAAAGCUUGAACAUUUACAGUGAAAAAUUUAGUAGAAGGGGGAAGAAACAGAGGGUCUUUCUUUCUUUCUUUCUUUCUUUUUUCUUUCUUCUUUUCCUUCUUUUGUCUUAUCUUUUGGUUUUGGGGCAGUGAAAGAAAAUUAAUUUUUUAGCUAUAAAACUUUGUCUUAAGAUCAGUUUUGGAAAGAAAAGCAUCUACUAAUUGAAAACGUCACUUUUCGGGCCCUUAAGUCAAGGGAAACAGGUGCAAGUUUGUGGUUUUAGACACAGCAUUUCUUUUGGAAAAAAGUAGUAAAAGUACCCCAGAUAAGUUCUCUCCAAAGCUGGAUAGAUUUUUAUUUUUCAGCCCUUUAUUACAUAGAAGGUGACAGAUUAGCUGAAAAGUUAAAAGAAAAAUCAACUCUCACCCUUGUAGGUAACACUCCAAUCUCUCUCUCUCUUUUUUCUUUCCAAGGCUGAAGAGAGGGCAACUGUUUACUGCAAUUUUGAUAAAAUUCCCUUUCAAUACGGCCUGUUCCUGGAUAGAGUCCCACCUUUCAUCUGCUUUUAUUCCUAAUCCUGUGGCAAAGCCUGGACCUCCCUUUUCUUCUCAUACAAGCUCGACAGAGCUGGCAUUUUCCUUCUCCAUUUCAGUGACAUGUUUUUCAGUGUUUUGUCUGUUUGUGAAGGGGCAGAAAUGUCAAGGUCAAAAAAGUCUUGGAAAAAAUGAGUAGUAUUUCUGUACCUGCUGAGGGUUAGGUGCUUGGAUGUUAUAUAUCUCUGCAUUCCCACAGUAAAACCAUGUGUGGUUGGGGAGCUUUUCCUUUUUUAACCUCUCUGGGUGGUUGAGGAAUUGGAGGCUCAGAGAGGAGAAGUGACACAGCCCAAGGUGACGCCACCAGGAGCUGAACUUGAAAGCCAAGCCAAGUCCGUCUGACCAUCAAGCGUUGCUCCUAUAAUCAUACUACCUUGCCUUCUGCCUUUGUAAACAUGAGGUGACACAUCAAGCUAGGGCUAUUAAAAUACCCAGAAGCACUUUUCUUCCAAAUAACUCACAAUAUCUUGUCUUUGGGAAGUAUUCAAUAGGUUUAUUUCAGUAAAAGAUACACCAUUGCCAUGGUUUUAGGGAGUGAUUCUGAAUUUUAUGUUACUGAUUAAGAAAGAUGGUUAAUGGAACCUGUUUCCUUAAGAAAUUUACAUCAUAUAUUAGUAAGCUGUUGCUGUGUAGCAAAUCACACCAACACUUAGUGCCUUGAAGUAACAACAUGUAUUAUCUCACAAUUUCUGUAGGUGUGAAAACUGGACAUCAUUUAGCUGGGUCCUGUGCUUCAGGGUAUCUCACAGGCAGCACACAAGGCUUCAUCUGGGCUAUACUCAUCAGAAGGCUGGAUUGGGGAAGAUCUGCUUCCAAGUUUACUUACAUGGUUGUUGGUGGGAUUCAGUUCCUGGUAGGCUGCCAGCUUUAGCUCCUCAUUUCCUGAUGGCUGGAGGGUUCCCUCAGUUCCUUUCCAUGUGGGCCUCUCCAGCAUGGCUGCUUGCUUCAUCAAAGUGUACAAGAAGGGAGACAGCAAUAGGAACAUGUCAGCAAGAUGGAAUCCACAGUCUUUUUAAAGCUAACCAUGGAAGUGAUAUUCCAUCACUUUUGGUGUAUUCUGUUUGUUAGGAACAAGACACUAGGUCCAGCCCACCACUCAAGGUAUGGGAUUACACACGGCAUGAAUACUAUGGGGUGGGGAUCACUGGAAAUUAUGUCAGCAGCUAUCUGUCACACAUGAGAGAAGUGGAGAUGGUAGUCAUAAUAAUAGUCAUCAUCAUCAUAAUAAUAAGGCUGGUGAGGAUAGCCAGCAUUUAUUGGGUGUUCUUGAUGCAUCAGGCACUGGGCUAAAUCCCUUCUAUGCAUUGUCUCCUUUAAUCUCCUCAUCACUCUCAUUAACUUCCCUGAGUUACUACAGCAAAGAGAUUAGGACCAGACUCUGUUGUUUCCACUCCGAAGUCCAUCCCUUUACAUGAUGCAGAUCAUUGAUAAGAAUCCACUGAGCUGCUGAGGCUCCAGGAAAGACCUGAUUGAGAGAGGAGUCUGAUAAACGAAGCUGAACUCACUGCUCCUCAGAAAACUGCAAAUGAACACAACCAGAAGCCAUUUCUUACCCAUCAGAUUGGAAAAGAAAAUAGCAUUGAAAUCAUAUAGCAGCAUCAUCCAGACCUGCAGAAUCAUACGUGAUCAUAGCCAGUUCACACUGAAAAAAGCCUUGUAGGAGAUUCGCCAACCUAAUCAUUCAGCUUACAGGCCUUUGGGAAGCCUGUCCCCACAUCUUCUCUGAGACCUGGAAUCUGGACCUUAUGUUGAGGCUGGGCACCCACAUCUGGGAUGUGAUUCCUUUCUGCCCUCACCCCAUCAUUCUCUCUCUCCAGUUUCCCUGCGAUUUCCUCUUGGCCAUAGCCUGGUGUGCCUGAAACAAAGAAAAGAAAUGCAGAUAAUUGGAUCUUCAUGACAUUUUCCCAACUGGCCACUUUCCCUGUAACAAGACCAAGCCUGUCUCUUCCAUUGUACUCUCGUGAGCUACCUGGGUCAGAACCUGAAAUCUUGGCGCAGAAGUCCUGUGGCCUGCCUAUAAACUUCUCAUUCCCGGCAGCUGGCACAUGCAUGGCCCAAUAAAUAUUUCUUGAUUGAAUGGAAGGAGCUGUGAAUAGUGGCCUCCUCAAGCAAAGGACAUUUUAUCUCCCAAAGGGAAAUCUACUUUGUUGAUAUGAAAGUGAGCUUCUUAAUAGGUCUACGGGGCAACAUUUUGCUAACCCCAUUCAAAUUAUAACAGACUUCAAAGUCAUAAAGGCAGUAAUAUGCUUCCUUUUAAGUGUGUAAUUUGUAUUUUUUUACACCCAGGAAUGGAAAACAGGGAGUGAAAUAUCCCCCAAUUAUUAUUUUGUGCUUUUGAGGCAGGAUGGCCCACUCACCUGUGGGGACUCUGGUGGCCAAGCACCUCCCACCUCAUUCUUGGCAAUUGUUUUCAUCUGCCUCCCUUCACACUGGCCCUAGCUCAGGUCUGGAAUCUUCCCAGGGUCUGACCUCUGAGUGUCUGUCUCAUGCAAUUCUGCUGCCCUGGUAUUGACUCUCAGGACACAGAAGUAUACUCUCUGCCACAUUCAUGACCACCCUGGGUGACGUGUCAAGGCAUCUUAGUGCAGCCCUGAGUCCCUUGGAGGGAAAUGGCCCCAGUCUGCUUCCUGUUUGAGGUAGCUCUGUUCUGGAUCACUUGGUCCUCCCCUCUCCCUCCUGCCACUGCUGAUUGCAUUGUGGUGAUCACCCCAAGGUCAUCCCAAAGGCAGGCUGCCGUGUAGAGCCUGGCUUGGCACAGGAGGCCCCAGCCAAUGAUCUCUGAUGCUGACCUCAUGCUCCAGGUGCCUGAAACAAAGAAAAGAAAUGCAGAUAAUUGGAUCUUCAUGACAAUUUCCCAACUGGCCACUUUCCCUGUAACAAGACCAAGCCUGUCUCUUCCAUAUGGGUCAGCCAUAUCCCACCCACUCCUCCUGGGAUUUGACUUGGGGAAUGUGGACAGAAUCACACAGUCAGUAGAAGUUGGAAAGUAGGCGGAAGUGGCCACAUGGGGUAGGGACAUAUCAGAGUUAUGAUGAAUCAGAAGCAGAAGCCCCAAGUUGAAGAAGAGAUACAAAGCUUGGAAGCAGGAAGAGAUGGAGCGGACACACAAAGGAAUCCAACACUGGAGAACGGCAACGUAAAGGUGGCGUGCUAGGGGAAAGCUCCAGAAUUCCUGCAGCUGGGCGCUGGAGCCACCCUGAACUUUCAAAGACCUCCCUAUUCCAGUCUCCACAAUCCCAGGUCCUGGUAUGUCCCUGGAUUUGGGGGGAGAUUCUGGCUCCUUUGUAGCACCACAAUAAACCCUUAUUGCCUGAGUUAUCCCAAGUGACUCCCUGUUCUUUAUGGGCUCACAAGCCAACACACCAAAAGUAGCCACCAUCAAUGGGUUGGGGGCCCACACCAGCACUGGGGGGGGACAGGGGAGGUUCCAAAUAGCUAGCUCCUCUCAAAGGUUCUAAUACCCGCAGAGGUGGUUUAACUCCUCAAAGGUCUAAGCUCCAUUUUCUUUUCUUUUCUUUUCUUUUUUUUUUGAGGCAGAG